UACGGAGGGUGCAAGCGUUGUCCGGAUUUAUUGGGUUUAAAGGGUGCGUAGGCGGUCUUUUAAGUCAGUGGUGAAAUCCUCCAGCUUAACUGGAGACGUGCCAUUGAUACUGGGAGACUUGAGUACAGACGAGGUAGGGCGGAAGUUGACAGUGUAGCGGUGAAAUGCAUAGAUAUUGUCAAGAACACCGAUUGCGAAGGCAGCUUACUAGACUGUAACUGACGGCUGAGGCACGAAAAGUGUGGGGAUCAAACAGGG
rnacentral:rRNA from 1 species